UAAGCAGUUUUGGUAGUCAGUGCAGACUCAGACUCCAGAGGACUACUGCAUAUAAACUUCGAGCUCUGGAACACCAGCUUAAUUUUUGAGGAUUUCUUCUUUCCUCAUUUUCAGCAGAUAAAAAUCUAACCUCUGAUUUUUCUUUUCUUUUACUUAAAAGCUCCAAAAACGAGAGAAGACAUGCAGGGCUUACCUUAAGGUAUCUCUCCUGUGCUGUCACCCUGCUUUCUCCCUUCUUCAGCUACCUGCCACGCUUUAUCAUCUUGCUGCAUGAUCCAAUGUAUUUCAGUCUUUGAUAAUUAUAUAAUGUGCCCCAUAUCAGCUGUACAAAUGUUGGCUUUUCACAGG
rnacentral:lncRNA from 1 species